rnacentral:tRNA from 1 species
GGCCGUGUAGCUCAGUUGGUAGAGCGUCGAUCUAGUAAUUCGAAGGUCGCGGGUUAAAGACCCAGCCGCGGCAG